rnacentral:rRNA from 1 species
AUGCAUCUCGGCUUUCUGCAUUUUGGAGUUCAUGUCAUCCUGGACACGUUCCGGGAAGCUGACUGAUGGGUUGCCGAUUGCUUUGUUUGCUGCGGCACUUGUGUUUUUGAAAUACUCUUCCAAGCGCAGGAAUGUCACCUCCACCAUCGCACUGAGUGGAAGGCAAGUUAUACCUUUCAAUACAGGAUCGUUCUUAUAUACAUCCGUUAUAUCAGUGCCCAUGAUGCCAUAUCUUGCUCCGUUGCUAUCAUGCACCAGUGA